AUUGAACGCUGGCGGCAGGCCUAACACAUGCAAGUCGAGCGGAUGAAGGGAGCUUGCUCCUGGAUUCAGCGGCGGACGGGUGAGUAAUGCCUAGGAAUCUGCCUGGUAGUGGGGGAUAACGUCCGGAAACGGGCGCUAAUACCGCAUACGUCCUGAGGGAGAAAGUGGGGGAUCUUCGGACCUCACGCUAUCAGAUGAGCUUAGGUCGGAUUAGCUAGUUGGUGGGGUAAAGGCCUACCAAGGCGACGAUCCGUAACUGGUCUGAGAGGAUGAUCAGUCACACUGGAACUGAGACACGGUCCAGGCUCCUACGGGAGGCAGCAGUGGGGAAUAUUGGACAAUGGGCGAAAGCCUGAUCCAGCCAUGCCGCGUGUGUGAAGAAGGUCUUCGGAUUGUAAAGCACUUUAAGUUGGGAGGAAGGGCAGUAAGUUAAUACCUUGCUGUUUUGACGUUACCAACAGAAUAAGCACCGGCUAACUUCGUG
rnacentral:rRNA from 1 species